ACAAGCAGCGGAGCGAUGUGGUUUAAUUCGAAGCAACGCGAAGAACUUACCAGAUCUUGACAUCCAAUUGACCAUCUUUUAUCGAGAUUUUGCCUUCGGUACAAUUGAGACAGGUGGUGCAUGGUUGUCGUCAGCUCGUGUCGUGAGAUGUUGGGUUAAGUCCCGCAACGAGCGCAACCCUUGUGUUUAGUUGCAAACAGGUCAAGCUGUGCACUCUAGACAGACUGCCGUGGACAACACGGAGGAAGGUGGGGAUGACGUCAAAUCAUCAUGCCCCUUAUGAUCUGGGCUACACACGUGCUACAAUGGCCGGUACAACGGGCAGCGAAGGAGCGAUCCGGAGCGAAUCCUAAAAAGCCGGUCCCAGUUCGGAUUGCAGGCUGAAACUCGCCUACAUGAAGUUGGAGUUGCUAGUAAUCGCGAAUCAGAAUGUCGCGGUGAAUGCGUUCCCGGGUCUU
rnacentral:rRNA from 1 species